rnacentral:piRNA from 1 species
UGAGCUUUGGGAUUUGAUGCUAGUUACAGGUU